rnacentral:misc_RNA from 1 species
GAAAUGCGAUAAGUAAUGUGAAUUGCAGAAUUCAGUGAAUCAUCGAAUCUUUGAACGCACCUUGCGCUCCUUGGCAUUCCGAGGAGCAUGCCUGUUUGAGUGUCAUCAAAUUCUCAGAACCCUUCCUGCCUGAUUUUCACCUCAGGCAGUUGAGUGGGAGCUGGAUCGGUGGAGGAUGCAUUGCUGGGGCUAACCCUUUGCUUCUCUGAAAUGGAUCGGCGUUACGGCUUCGUUGUCGGUAUGAUACACAUACAUGUCCUACCUGCUUCUAACCUGUGCCAGCCUUGAACACAAACACGCUCUCAUGAUUUGACCUCAAAUCAGGCAGGACUACCCGCUGAACUUAA